CUACAGGCAAGUUUACCUGACUGUGUUGUGGUAUAUCUCUCUAUAGUGAGUGUGACCGGGGAAAAUUGCACCGUGUAUGCACAUGAGUGUGCACACGAGGUAUGCCAGGCCGGCUCUGUAAUAUCGUGCAUAGACAACCUUUGCACGUGCAAGCAUCUGGAUUUAAGAUGCAGCAGUCAGAGAGAAUGUCACCAGUACACCACUGCAGAUGUGUGUCCAACUGACCGAUGGUAUUGCGGCCGAGAUAAUAUUUGUCACUGCAUCAAUUUUGGAAAGUAAUAACAGUUCUCUGUUGGUGUUUCCUUUGGACAUUUCAUUAAAUCUCUAAAUAUG